UACAGAGGGGGGCAAGCGUUGUUCGGAAUUACUGGGCGUAAAGGGCGCGUAGGCGGCCUGCUAAGUCGAACGUGAAAUCCCUGGGCUCAACCCAGGAACUGCGUCCGAUACUGGCAGGCUUGAAUCCGGGAGAGGGAUGCGGAAUUCCAGGUGUAGCGGUGAAAUGCGUAGAUAUCAUGAGGAAUACCAGAGGCGAAGGCGGCUACCUGGACAAUUGCUGACGCUCAGGCACGAAAGCGUGGGGAGCAAAAGGG
rnacentral:rRNA from 1 species